UUUAUCUUGUCGGAGUGCCUAGCAUUGCUUUUACAGAAUGCAGGCUGAGACCGUUAAUUCGGGAUCCGCGGAACCUGAUCGGGCUAAUACCCGCGAAGGGAACAAGAGUAAUUCCAUU
rnacentral:ncRNA from 1 species